rnacentral:lncRNA from 1 species
UUUUUUUUUUUUUUUUUUUUGAGAUGGAGUCUCACUUUGUCUUCCAGGUUGGAGUGCAGUGGCGCGAUCUCGGCUCACCGCAACCUCCACCUCCCUGGUUCAAGCAAUUCCCCUGCCUCAGCCUCCCGAGUAGCUGGGAUUACAGGUGCACAACACCACACCCGGCUACUUUUUUUGUAUUUUUAGUAGAGGCGGGGUUUCACCAUGUUGACCAGACUGGUCACGAACUCCUGACCUUAGGCAAUUCCCCCACCUCAACCUCCCAAAAUGUUGGGAUUACAGGGGUGGGCCACUGCGCCCAGACCUGAACCAUUUUUAAGUUUACAGUUUUCCUUUUGUCUUUUGAGGUUAAACAGGCAUAGGUCUUCUACAAAAAACAAAUGUCCCUCUAAAGUUGGUUAGUUUAUUAUUAAGGCUGUGAUGAAAUCUUCCCUGGCUAAUAGCAAGAGGAGAACCUAGGCUUUGCACAGUGGAGGGCAAUGGGCUUUGCAAGGCAUGUGCUAUAGGAGGACCAGCUUCCCCCAGGUAUUGCACCUGCAAUGUGGGCAUGUUGGUGGCAGCUCUUGGCCAGGUGGCAGAGAUCAAGUAUCCACCAGGGCCCUAACAAACCUCUACAAUGUUCUGUCAAGACACAAUGUGAAGUACCAUACAAUGUUCUCUUCAUACCUUCUUGAUCUUUGAAUUAUUGUCAAGUUCUCAAGCGAGGAUCUUGAUAAUCGACAAAAGAAAAGCAGAAACAACCCUUAGAUGGGUAUGGAUCACCAGGACAGCAGUUAAGGAAAGUAAUCCCCACCAACCUCCUCCCUGCUGGCAACAAAGGAUCACAGUUCUGAAGCUUAGUGAUUAACUAGCCUGGUGACCCCAACAGUGUCCAAACCCUAGGUAGGGUUACCUUUUACACUUCUCAAUACCCUACAUGUGUUUGAACGGAAAGGGACCAUUUUUUACAAAGGGUUACAUGACAAUUUCCUUAAAAUAGCUACAAAAACAGGGGGCGGAGUCUUAGGGCAGUGGAAGGAGCCUCCAAUGCACACCUUCUCACCUGCUGCUGUCCCCUGCUGGCCUGAAACGGUCACCUGCUCACCUGCUGUUUUCACCUGUUCACCUGAAACUCUCACCUGCUCACCUGACACUCUCACCUGCUCACCUGAAACUCUCACCUGUUCAGCUGCAGCUCUCACCUGAUCACCUGCAGUUCUCACCUGCUCACUUGCUGCUUUCACCUGUUCAUCUGCAGCUCUGCUCCACAGGUCAGACACUAAUAUCAAGCAGCAAGUGAAAUUGUCAGGAUGGAACAAGCAAUUUCACAAUGCUGGAAAUCUGUUCAUCCUACUCCAAGUCACCCACACUACCUGACCUCCAUAAAUGAGACCUCAUUCUUUGCCCUCCAUGGUAUCCACAGUUACUGCUCAAAGGCCACCGGGAAUAAUAGUGACCCAACUCUAUCUCAGAUACCCUUGGGCAUCUUCAGGAAAUCCUCUUUUGCUUUCCAGCCAGAAUCUCAGAUCUGCCUAAGAAGAGCAGAAUGAAAUUAUCCCUUCUCUGCUGAAGGAGGUAGCCUGGAGUCAAGGGUGUUACAAUGUGAGGCUAAUUACUGUAGCCUUUUAAUAUUCUCUUCUCUGAGGCCCUCCCGGGAAGGAUAAAAUAAAACACUGCAUAAUAAUAGGUGAAAUGAACGGUGGACUGGGAACCUUCACUUGCUGUGUGACCUUGGACAAAGUAGUUGACCCAGACUUGCAAUCUCAUUAACACAAAGGGAAAGAGAGAGAAAAAGGCCCCUUUCUUCUUUUUUUCACCAGAGCAUGGGGCAUCAGGGAGGAACCAGGAUGGGUCAGAGAGGACCCUCCUACUAAAUAGACCCGGGGAGGUGGUACAGCCUUAUUGGAGACACAAUACUUGGCUGUAUAGCUUUGGAUUCUCCAUUAUGGAACACCUUACAUUUUCCCGAGAAUUUUUGUUCAGUUGAAAGUCUCAGUUUUCUUUUCCCUGCAGACGUUUCGUUUUCAUUGCAAGCCAUAUCAUACAUACAGAAGUGUAAAGAAAGCUUAUGUACAGUUUAGCAACUAAUAAUAAAAUGAACACCAGUGUAUUUACCUUUCAGGACAGAAAAAAAAAAUCUUACAAUUCCUUGGAAUUCUUACAUGCCUCAUCUGGUCACUGUUUCCUCCUCCUUCCAAGACCUAACUGCUAGCCUGAUUUUUGUGUUAACUGUUCUCUCUUGACUUUUCUUAUCACCUGCGAAUAUACCUCUAAAACUACAUUGAUAAAUUGUUUGAUAUUUAGAUCAAUACAAUCAUGCUGUUAUGAAUUCAUCUAUUACCUGCUUCUUGUGAUUAAUUUUAUGGUUUUAAGAUAUCUUCAUGUUUUUUAGGGCAGCUGUGUAUCGUUCACUCAUUGCCACUGCUGUAUCAUAUCCCUUCAUACACUGAUUUGAAUACAUCACAAUGUAUUUAUUCAUUCUAUCACUAAUGGGCAUUGGGUUGUUUCCAGUUUGGAGCCAUGAAGAGUGAUGCAGUCAUGAAUUUCUCUCGCAUAUAUCUCCUGGAACGUGUCUGUAAGACUGUCUCCAGUUAGGGAUAGAAUCGCUGUGUCAUAGAGUAUAUGAAUGUUCAACUUUGCUAGGAAUUGUAAGUAGUACUACUCUGUUUUUCAUAGUGGCUUACCAAUUUAUACAAGCAGUUAAUAGAGUUCCCAUGGCUUUAAACCCUCCAAAUCACUCUAAAUUGUCAACUCUGUUGUGGUUUUUGCCAAUUUGGUGAUAGAAGAUGGUUUCUCAUUGUAGUUUUCAUUGGUAAUUCCCUGGUUAAUGCUAAGAUUGGGCAUCUUUUUAUAUGACUCUGAUUCAUAUGUAUGCUCCUUUUCUGUAAAAUGCCUAUUCAUGUCUUUUGCUGACUAUUCUACAGAGUCAUUUUUUUUUUAUUUUUUGCUUCAUAAGAAUUAUUUUAUAUUCAGGAAGUCCUUUGUGAUUAUAUGUUGCAAAUAUCUUCUCUCCAUUUGUAUCAUCUUUCUGCUCAUUAUUCCUUUUUGUAUCUCAGAUAUUUCCUCUUGGACCAUUUCCUCCUGCCUGAAGUAUAUUGUGCACAAUUUUCUUUAGUGGGAAACUUCUGGUUUCAUUUGUUGAAAUACUGUUUCAUUUGUUUGUUUUAUUUGAAAUAUCUUGAUUUUGCCC